rnacentral:rRNA from 1 species
GAUGAACGCUGGCGGCGUGCCUAAUACAUGCAAGUCGAGCGAACAGACGAGGAGCUUGCUCCUCUGACGUUAGCGGCGGACGGGUGAGUAACACGUGGAUAACCUACCUAUAAGACUGGGAUAACUUCGGGAAACCGGAGCUAAUACCGGAUAAUAUAUUGAACCGCAUGGUUCAAUAGUGAAAGACGGUUUUGCUGUCACUUAUAGAUGGAUCCGCGCCGCAUUAGCUAGUUGGUAAGGUAACGGCUUACCAAGGCAACGAUGCGUAGCCGACCUGAUAGGGUGAUCGGCCACACUGGAACUGAGACACGGUCCAGACUCCUACGGGAGGCAGCAGUAGGGAAUCUUCCGCAAUGGGCGAAAGCCUGACGGAGCAACGCCGCGUGAGUGAUGAAGGUCUUCGGAUUGUAAAACUCUGUUAUUAGGGAAGAACAAAUGUGUAAGUAACUAUGCACGUCUUGACGGUACCUAAUCAGAAAGCCACGGCUAACUACGUG